GCGAAUGGCUCAUUAAAUCAGUUAUCGUUUAUUUGAUAGUACCUUACUACUUGGAUAACCGUGGUAAUUCUAGAGCUAAUACAUGCUGAAAACCCCGACUUCGGAAGGGGUGUAUUUAUUAGAUAAAAAACCAAUGCCCUUCGGGGCUCCUUGGUGAUUCAUAAUAACUUCUCAGAUCGCAUGGCCUUGCGCCGGCGACGGUUCAUUCAAAUUUCUGCCCUAUCAACUUUCGAUGGUAAGGUAUUGGCUUACCAUGGUUUCAACGGGUAACGGGGAAUUAGGGUUCGAUUCCGGAGAGGGAGCCUGAGAAACGGCUACCACAUCCAAGGAAGGCAGCAGGCGCGCAAAUUACCCAAUCCCGACACGGGGAGGUAGUGACAAUAAAUACUGAUACAGGGCUCUUUUGGGUCUUGUAAUUGGAAUGAGUACAAUUUAAACCUCUUAACGAGGAACAAUUGGAGGGCAAGUCUGGUGCCAGCAGCCGCGGUAAUUCCAGCUCCAAUAGCGUAUAUUAAAGUUGUUGCAGUUAAAAAGCUCGUAGUUGAACCUUUGGCCUGGCUGGCAGGUCCGCCUCACCGCGUGCACUUGUCCGGCCGGGCCUUCUUUUCUGGAGAACCGCAUGCCCUUCACUGGGUGUGUUGGGGACCAGGACUUUUACUUUGAAAAAAUUAGAGUGUUCAAAGCAGGCCUUUGCUCGAAUACGUUAGCAUGGAAUAAUAGAAUAGGACGUGCGGUCCUAUUUUGUUGGUUUCUAGGACCGCCGUAAUGAUUAAUAGGGACAGUCGGGGGCAUCAGUAUUCAAUUGUCAGAGGUGAAAUUCUUGGAUUUAUUGAAGACUAACUACUGCGAAAGCAUUUGCCAAGGAUGUUUUCAUUAAUCAGUGAACGAAAGUUAGGGGAUCGAAGACGAUCAGAUACCGUCGUAGUCUUAACCAUAAACUAUGCCGACUAGGGAUCGGGCGGUGUUAUUAUUUUGACUCGCUCGGCACCUUACGAGAA
rnacentral:rRNA from 1 species